rnacentral:rRNA from 1 species
GACGAACGCUGGCGGCGUGCCUAAUACAUGCAAGUCGAACGCAUUUUCUUUCACCGUAGCUUGCUACACCGAAAGAAAAUGAGUGGCGAACGGGUGAGUAACACGUGGGUAACCUGCCCAUCAGCGGGGGAUAACACUUGGAAACAGGUGCUAAUACCGCAUAAUUCCAUUUACCGCAUGGUAGAUGAAUGAAAGGCGCUUUUGCGUCACUGAUGGAUGGACCCGCGGUGCAUUAGCUAGUUGGUGGGGUGACGGCCUACCAAGGCUGCGAUGCAUAGCCGACCUGAGAGGGUGAUCAGCCACACUGGGACUGAGACACGGCCCAGACUCCUACGGGAGGCAGCAGUAGGGAAUCUUCGGCAAUGGACGCAAGUCUGACCGAGCAACGCCGCGUGAGUGAAGAAGGUUUUCGGAUCGUAAAACUCUGUUGUUAGAGAAGAACAAGGAUGAGAGUGGAAAGUUCAUCCCUUGACGGUAUCUAACCAGAAAGCCACGGCUAACUACGUGCCAGCAGCCGCAGUAAUAC